UCAGACCCGGCCAGAAGUUAAAAAGCCGUGUCGAGAACGCUUCGCCCAAGGCAGAAUAAUCUGAACUAAUUAAAAAGGCCGCACUGCGGCCUUUUUUCUUUUCUCACGACGGCACGCGCCGUAAAAUCAAGUACAUCACUCUUUACUCGACGGACACU
rnacentral:sRNA from 1 species